GGUGGAGUGGUGUUUGAAUUGGCCACAAAUGGCAUACAUUUUAUAGGAGGAGUCAAGAGUAGUGACCAGGGAGAGGGCAGAGACGAGGGGGCUGAACCUGGAACAUCUGAGUGCCGCUGCCACUGCCCUUCGUGUUCUGUCAAGCAGACUCGCGUGGUAACUGUUGGUCUACCGUUGACCCGGUAGUAGCAUCCCAGCAGGCAAGAUGGAAGGUGGAGGCGGGUGAUGGGGCGUGGUCCUCUCAGGGUUCUCAACGGUGGUGCAAAUUGCUGGUGGGAUCCUUUUAUUUGUCCCGCUGCCGUAGAGUGGGCAGCCUGGAGACAUCCCCACCAUUUGCUGGCCAACUUUGCACUGCUGUCCUCCUGGGCUGAAGCUCCGCUCACUACAUCCAUGGGGGAUCAGCCUGGAUCAUGGUGCUAGUACCUGGCCCUCUGUAACUGUUCCUCUUCCUCCUCCUAUCCUUCCUGCCUCUACCAGGAGUAUUGUCUUUAGCUUUUGGGCAAGAGGAAGAACAACUCUCUGUCUCUCCAAGGAAAUUCGUUGGUGACCGCCUGAGAGAACUUGCCCUUCGAAAUUAAGUCCGGAACAACUGAAGAAUAUCCACCCUGAGCUGAUUAAAAACAAAACAAACAAACAAAUAAACAAAGAACAAACAAAUCGACAGAGAUCAUAACCAGGUAGGAAAGUCAAAACAAAGGUAAGGAUAGGAGUGGCUGCCACGCUUCUCUGUGGGCCUGCUUGUCAUUGUGCUCUGUCGGAGCUCAGCCUUUUCCCCAGGGCAUUUUAUAAGCCACCCCUAACCUGAUCAGACCCACUGGACCAGGACCUCAGGAUGCUUUCCAAGGCUGGAUCUCCUAUCUCUACCAGUGGGACAACUGGCUGGCACUUAACUGCCUUCAGUUGGCGAUUUACAGGAGAAGGAGGGCAGAGCCCCAGAGUUCAGUUCCUGCUCAGUUGACAUCAUUAAAGUUGUCCAUCAUUGACAUCAUCCUGUUUAUGGGAAAAUACUGUCACAGUCUAUUUUGCUGUGGAGUUAUUUUGAAAGUCUGAACAGUGAGUGGUCAGGUGCCUCAUUAUGUGAAGGCUGCUUCAAAUGUGAAAGCUUUUCACCAUAAAAUUAGUAGAGCCAGUCCCUGUUUAUAAAAAGAAACUUUCUGAAAGCCCUGGCAUAAGCUAAACCUAUAGCGACUCCUGGAAUCUGACUUCUCCUUCAUAGCUGGAAUUCAGUGCUGUCCUUCACACCAUCCGGAGGAGAAUGCUGUAUGAUUGGCUGGUGAGCACUUGUAUAUGAAAUGGAGGUUUGAAUACAUGAAGUAUUUGCAGUCCUUUUACAUACAUGAAAUAUUUGCAGUCCUUUUACAUAGUCUGCUAGCGAAGGCAGCCUAAUUAAGGUAGAUUAAGCCUUUUACUUUCCGUGCUUCUUUAAAAAAUUUUUUUUCCCUCUAAUUCAAGUGUUUUGCUUUGCACUGGAGUUUUGUUUUUUUGUUUUUUGUUUUUUUUUUCUAACCAUCAAUGUGUUUGCUGACACGCCCUCCUAGGGGACACACAUUAGUUUGCUUCUUUGUUUCCAUUGAGUUUGGCUAGUGGGAUGGGGAAGGUGGGAUGGGGUGUCUCCCUUCUCCCUCCCUCUCUUCCAUUUUUCUGAAACAUUCAUGGAGGUUACAGAACAUGGUAAUUAGAGUAAAGGAAUUAAAGUAAGUUAAAGGCUCACUAUGGUUUUGAGAGUUUUUCAUGCCUUUGAUACAUAACACAUCGACAUAUGAAACAUAUAGAGUCCUUUAAAUGAGUACUAUUACGCUGCUGUCCUGAUCCAUCUUUCUCACUCAUGUUCAUGUGAUCUCUCUGAUACUGUUUUCUGGUGGUUCUUAUUACAGAGAAGGCUAGCCACAUGAGGCACACGGCUGUAAUUUCCACAGUUGGGAGCCUGAGUCAGGGUACUGUUAGUUUGAAGCCAUCUUGUGUCACGUAUCUCGUACCCUCAAACCCAGGGAGGAAAAGAAAAGGACGUUAACUUUGUGGUAUGAAUCUCAUACGUGACCACUUUGUCAGCCCAUUGCUAUUUUGCUGGGACUCAGAAAAUGAUACCACAAGCCCCAUAGUAGGGCCACUUUGGGUUCUGAUAACCGUGUCUUUUCUAAGUAUGGAGAGAGGCCUUGUGACUGAGAGAAGACCCCUUCCCAGCAGGACUAAAUCCCAUCAGAUAGGCAAGACUGGAUUUCUAGAAAGAGACUGAAAGGUUGUCCUCUCAGGUACCCACCCAGACUUUUCAUCUGGUCUAAGGGACUUCCCAACAGAAUUUGUCUACACUAGAGGACAAUAUUUGUUCACCCCUCUAUUCCUUUCUUCAUAUAAGUAGCUUGUGGUGACCUUCCACUUCCCCAAUCUUUAUUCCUGCCUGUUAAUAUAGAUGGCUUUGCUUAUCCAGUCUUUCUUAAAUGCAUAGACUUUGUUUAUAGUUCCCAUGUUGUGGGUUUUUUUUCCCUCUGGGUAAAUAAAUUCUGUUACAGCCAUGGUUUGAUGCUGGCCAGGUAAACAUGAUAUGAACUAAACUAUAACCCCAGCCCCCAAAAUAAGCAUGUAAAAAAAUUUUCACACUCAGUGCAAAGUGCCUUAUCUUUUUAGAAACAUAGAUUCUACUACUGAAGGUACAGACAAAAGUCUACUGAAGGUACAGAAAAUGGAAACAUUUCUGCAACAGUACAGCUUUUAAAAACUGACUCAAAGAAACAGAAAGUAUAUAUAACAUUAUCAUGAUUAUAGUAGAUUUUGUUGCUCGAGUGAAAUGCCCCAUGCUGGGUAUUUUAUUAAGAAGAAACAUUUAUUAAGCUCACCAUUGAGAGGGCUCAAGCACAUUUCCUCCAGUGAGGAAGACAUCAGUAUAGGGAAACAGAGGAUUCUGUACAACAAGAAAUCAUAGAGAGACAGGAAGAAAGGAUGAGUUGCCUUCUUUGUCAUCACCUUCUCUCAGGCACCAGCUCAAGGCAGGUCCCAUAUAAAAGGCUCUAGUGAUCUGUUAGUUCUAACACCUUUGUGAGACAUGUGGUCACAGUGGCCAGUGGCUUGGCCUUCUGUAUCUCAGCCAUGCAGCUCACAUGGUUUCUCUUGUAGGCCUCUCCUUAAGGCUUAGAUUUGACAGUCCCUUCAUGUCUCUCUACCGCAUUACAAUCAGUGGGUGGCCCCUGACUGGUGAUGUGGUACAGAAAGUGGUAUGUUUGUAGACAUGGAGAAGAUUUCUCCUACAUUUCCACGCCCCUUCAUCAGACAGUUUUCAUAGUGCAGUGCUACUACAAGGGCAAGUUUGUGGAUGCCUUUACAUUGUCAGUGCAUGCUUGCCUGACCACCUGCUGCAAUUGCUUUGGAGGAGUUAAUAGGUACUUCCAAAUGUGUGACCAAAAUUCUGUAUUUGAUAAACUUAGAGAGUACAUUCCCCCUCCUGGAGAACUUUAAUUAUAUACAUUUAUCUGUGUUCUUCAGAUACCUACUCCAUAAAUAAUGAUUUACCUCUCUAUAUUAUUGCCAGCAUUUUAGUUUAGUUUUGGUUGGGCAUCUGAUUUCCUCUAAUGUUCCUGUGGGUCAGAUCAUGAAGUAAUGAAUAGAGUGUUAUGUGCUGACACACACUAGUUUCUAUCGUGUAGGCAUUCAUCUUGUGGAUGUCUCUGACAUUCUCCUAUGAUCAGAACUGUGGUGGUUUGAAUAUGUUUGGCCCAUGGGAAGUGGCACUAUUAGGAGGUGUGGCCUUGUGGGAGUAGGUGUGGCCUUAUGGAAGGGAGUUCAUCACUGUGGGAGUGGGCUUUGAGGUCCUGUGCUCAAGCGAUGCAGAAUGUGGAAAAGAGCUUCCUCCUGGCUGACUUCAGGUCAAGAUGUAGAACUCUCAGCUCCUUCUCCAGCACCAACCAUGUCUGACUGGACACUGCCAUGCUUUCCUCCAUGAUGGUAAUGGACUAAACCUCUGACACUGUUAGCUAGCCCCAAUUAAAUGCUGUCCUUCACAAGAGUUGCUUUGGUCAUGGUGUCUCUUCACAGCAGUGAAAACCCAAGAGGGGUGCCUGUGUUCAAAUAUGGUAGGACACCCUACAGGAAGGAAAUGCAACCAGGUUUAUACAUGUUUAGUGGAGGGCAGCAGCUCAGACCACAGACUUAGGAAUUAGAUUGCUAGCAUGGGCCAGUCACUGCAGCUAUUUAACUUUGGUUAAUGUACCUACUCUGAUUUUGCCUCAUUUUCCUUGUCAUUAAAUUCAUGAUAAUAAUACAUUCUUCAGAGUAUUAUAAGAACAACGCUAACAACAAACUGGUGAAGUACACAAAAUAUGUGAGUGCCUUACCAGCUAAUUAACUCUGGUCCUGGAAGCAAAGGUAACACUCUUAUAGUACAUAAGGCUCUUAGUACUUGUGGAUAAGAGUGAGUACCCUCUGUCCUGGAUGAGAUGGUGGGGCAGGAAUGAAUGCAGCAACUCCAAUGAAGAGAUGGCCUUAGUUAUAGAUGUUCUUAAACGGAAGAAUUCUGAAUUCUGAUUUAACAUGUCCUGUGUGUGUAACAAGUUUAACCUCUUCUUGUCUUCCCCUCCCUCUCCCUUCCUCCCUUUUUCUUUCCCUGUGUGUUCCACUUCCUCUCCUCCCUUUGCCUCACUCCCUCUCUCCUUCGAGCCUCCCUAAUAAGAGAACCAGGAACAUGAUUAAAAUGUCCUCACUGUUGUUUAUAUUGGUAUAUUCUUAUAUUUAAAUUUAUGUUUUUCUUUGACAGCUUUAAAAUGAUCUUCUCCGGCAGUAACAAAUUUCUGCUACAGAAAAUGGGUGAGAACUAACAUUGAGUUUUCAUUAAAGCAGCUAUGAAUAAUGGUACAGAAGGAGUUAAUUCUGAGAUACAUUAUUUGAUCCAGAAAAAGGCUUAAAAUUUCAGUUUGUUAACCACGAUAUUUAGUAUACUAUCAACACUAUCCAAGUCCUCUAUAAAGACAGAUGAGUUAAAUUUCAAAUGAGAAUUAUAUUUACAUACAUUAUCAACUGAGAUUCAGCCUCUGUACUUGUUUCCUUGGAAACUUAACUAAAAUAUUUAAAUGCUUGAUUCAGUAAGACAAAGAUACAAAAACAGAGUAAUACUAAGCUAUCCUGGAUGAUUUUCUGCAGGAGAAAUAUGGAUCCUGUACUUAAUUUCCUUGGUAAUUGUAGGCUCCUGUGGAAUAAGCAGGAGAGAGGGGGGAACAUGUAUUUAUAUGUGGGAGGAUCAUCAGUACCUUAAUUUUAAGAUAAGGCCUUCCUGUGCAACUCGGAAUGCCCCCAUAGAUUUGACACUCUUACCUCCAGACCAGAGAGAUGGGAUUAUGCGUCUGCAGCACUAGGUCUAACCAGUGAAGACUUUUUUUGAAAUGACUUAAUUGCGAUGGUUCAUAUUGUCAUGCUACUUAGUGUUAUAGGAGAAGGGAAACAGCUACGCAAGCAGUGCUUGUCCCUAAAGGAACAUGGCUUAGCUUUCCUAUUGUUGACUUUGAUUGAUAUGUAAAAUAUAUACAUAGACGAUCAAAACAGACAGACAGACAGACAGACAGACAGACAGACAGACAGUCCGGACCAGAUACCUGUGCCUUCUACUGGCCUUGUAACAACCCAUCUUUGUACACGCUGUAGUGCAUCCUCUUGCAUGUCAAUGACAGGAUGUAUACAGAAGCAAGUUGCAUUAAUUUUUUUCUCUGUUGCAGUGAUAAAAACACUGACCACAAGCAAUGGGAGGAGAGCUUUUAUUUGGUUACAGGUGACAGUUCAUCAACCACAGAAACUAAGGCAGGAGUCUGAAGGUGGGAGCUGAAGCAAUGGCAGGACUGGUACGUGAAGUCUUGCUCAACAUUGCUUGCUCCAGUUGGUACUCUCUAUUUUUAAAAAAACAAUUUUAUUUUCAAUUAAAAUAUACUUACAUCCUAUAUCCCAGUUUCUCUCCCACCUUUCUCUUCACUCACAAAUUCAGGACCCCUUUCAUUUUAUUAUUGCUGCAUACAUACAUGCACUCAUACAUACAUGCACACAUGCACACAUGCAGCAAACAUAUAUAUUAAUGUGAGAAAAAAUAUGUAAAUAAAUCUGGCUGGGUUCAUUUUGUGCUGCUUGUAUGUAUAUGUUUUUAGAGCUAACCCAGAAACACUGAUAUUGAAUAACCAAUUAAAGGGUUCAUUAAACUAAUUCUUGUUUUGAUUGAUUGACUAUAGUCCUUGACUGGCUAUAGUUUUUCAUCUGGCCCUCUUAUAUAAUCCAGGAACAAGCUGCCAAGGGUUAGUAUUGCUCAGUGCACUAUGCUUUCCACAUGAGUUAUCAAGGAAAUGCUUGAACAUAUUUUCCCACAGGCUAAUCUGAUGGAGAUAGUUCCUCAGUCAAGGUUCUCUCUCAACCUAUGAGAUUAACCUGUGUUAAACAGAAAAAGAACUACAAAAUCUUGAGUGAAUGGUGAACAAGGAAGCAAAUCUAAUUAGCUCACCAGUUCAGGGAUGCAAGGCUUACCUGGGCUCCUAGGGUUCUAAGAUCUAUUCUGACCUGGGACGUCAAUUACAACUGUUGACUUUAAUGGACUAGGAGAUCUGCACAGGAACUAGGCAUGGAUAGUGUACUCCCAAUAGACACUACCCGGAGUAGACAUUCUCUACCUACCUGGCUUCUAUUUCCCAAUGUUGUGAGAAGCUUCUAAAAUAGUGCCACUGUUUCAUGACUAAGCAUGCACUACCCAGACAGACCCUACUGGAAACAUCAGGCAUUCAAAGGACAGGGCUUUAAAUCCUGAAGAGGAAACUAGCACUCUGUCAUCCCUUCGACAAACAACACACUGACUUCCAACAGUGGUGUGUUUUAAUAGCAAGACAGGAAGACACACUUGAACCUGACCUCGAAAGAAAACCAUAAAGGUUAUACCAAGUACACUGUCAUAGACAAAAGGAAAAUGUCCCUGAGCACAAAGCAGUGCAGAGAUCCCCCCACUCCCUGUCUGAUUCACAAAUCACUCUUAAGUAGCUGGCCACCUUUAGGAAGCGCUGGUUCAUCAGAGCAAACUCAUCUUAUCUGCUUCUAGUCUGCCCUUGAAUAACCUGUCACCUUCACCUUCUGUCUCACAGGUGUCCCACCAGAAGCUUCAGGCUCAUCUCAAGGAUAUCUUGUAUUUGUUGUACCAUCAAUCAGGCAGAUUUUCUUUUUUAUAGGUCUGUUAUCAUCAGGUUCCAGUGCAUAUCCAGAUGAAUAGGUACCAAAGUAAAUUCCUUUGCAAAGUGUUUUACUGCCUGGGUAAAACUGGCUCACCAUGGUCUUGUGGCUUUAGUAUCUCUCUCAGGUUUCCAUUUUGUCUCCUGCCAGUUUGGCCUUACUUGGAAUCCCAAUACUUUAAUUUUAUGUAAAAAAGGGCUUUAAACAUGUGAAUUGUUGGGCAUCCUUAUUAUUAUUCCUUUCUAUGAGAAGAUUCAUGUGACGGUUAUUGAACUCAUGCUUACGCCAGUGAGUAUCCUUUAGCUUCUGCAUGUCUCCUUAAGUAAUUUGAGUUUGAAGGCAGAAGAGAAGCUCUCGUCUUGUGGCCCAGGCCCUCCUGAGCUUCUGACUUUCUUUCCAUGUGUGCUGUGACAUUUUGUCCUCUGCAAAUCUCUUGGUCUUCAAGAGCCCUUUCCUUGGUUUCAAGGAGUGGUAUUGAGAUAUUGUUGAGGAGGCCAUUGCUGACACUGUCUAUGUAGAUCGUGCCUGUGCUUGCCUACAAAGAUGGCCUGGGAGCGAGCGGUGUCCCUUUUGUCAUUUUCACUGUUUGUCUUCACUAUCUUCUCAGUUUAAGAAUUGUUCUCUUCUGAAUUCCUGGUUUCACUUUUGACUGCCUUGUGUUGUAUUCUUGUGACAGCCGUGGCAUAUUGUUUUGUCUUGAAUGGUGUUGUUUUUGACCCAUGAAACUGUCACACAGCCUUUGAUAUUUCUGUCAGUAUCCACUGGGAAUUUAUUUAUUUAUUUAUUUAUUUAUUUAUUUAUUUAUUUAUUUAUUUGAGAUCUGUGGUGGUCAGGGUCCACAUGAUAACCAGUUUGAUCAGCCUUAGUAACUGAAGACCCCCCUCCAUGUUGUGUUAGAGGCACCUGCGACCCUUCACACCAUGCACAAAUGUCACCUCAUCGCAGCAUCUUCCUGAGGGGCUCAUCACGCUCUUGUUGCUUUAGCUUCUCGAUCAGGUUUCCAUAUGUCUCCUGCCAGGCCCUUUGCAACCAAGAUCUAUUUCACCUUGUUCCUGUUUCACCACCUUCCAAUUCCAAAGCUCGGCUGGCUUUUCAGACUUCACAUAGGCUCCUCCCUCAUCUUGGCAUUUCACUUUCCCUGAAUAUUUUGGCUCAGGGGUCCGUGCUGCUGGUACAGUUGCCAUGUAGAGUGACUACUUGGGUUGCCUUGGGUCACAUGCCUGGCUGACUUUUCUGGUACAGCCUUCUGGUUUCAUAUCCAAAGUGAAGGUCAGCUGGAUUCUUGGUUGGUGUUCUUGUGUUAUUAUCCUAUGAUGGCCAAAGGAUCUUUUAGUCUGCUAGGAGAUUUCUUAUCCACACUGCAUGUGGUGAUUCAAGGUCAAGGUCAUAAAACACUGGAUGAAGAGCUCAAAUUCUCUCUUUAUCAGUGGAGUUUGCUCUGGCAUUAGGUUCAGUGAGAACCUGAAGUCAGAUGGAGAUGAGGAAUCAAUGAGGAUUUGUACCAUAGUGAAUUCAUCAAUUGAACCUUGUCUUCAUGGUGGUAGUCGACUAAUCCCAUUGUAAAAAUCUCCAUGGAGUUCAGGUAUUACUCUUUCUGUUGGGGAAUAAAUGGGGCUCCAGAGCACAAGGAACUUCUGUAGACACCAAAAAUGUGGAAAACACACUAAUCCUUUGGGCUAGUAUUCUGAAGACUUCACACAUUGACAUUGUAUUGUGCCCAGUUGCAAGGGAUGCCAGACUGCUGCUUGCCUCAGCUGAUGUCCUGGCUAUGAGGCUUUCAGGUUUCUUAGCUGGUUUUGAUGCAAUUUGAUGCAUCAUGGCAACAUUCUAUGAGGGCAUGUCCACUGUCAUUGAAAUCUAUAUCUCCAAAUCUUGUUUCCAUAUGUGGAGUUAUUGUCUGUUUCUUCCUGUUCUAAAGGCUGAAGCAAAUCCACAGUCUUAUCAGAACUCAAGGGGAAAGACAUGUAGCUCUCCAGGAAAGGUCUCCAGGAAAGUGUAAAGUCUUCUAGAAAAAAAGCAGAUGUACAACAUCUUGUUUUUCUCAACUGUAAAGAGUAAAAAAUACAUAGUCAUCCUGGGUGGAAUUUAUACUCACAUCCCUUCCACAUUGCUGAAAAGAAAAUUAUCUCCAGUUAUACAUUUUUUUCUUUUCAAUUUUUCUUUUGGUCUUGUGAUCUUAAAAUAUGAUUGUUGCAAAAUGUUUCAUUGUCUUAGGUAUUCGUAGAAGGGGAUGGCUCCCAACAUUACGCAGAAGCAGGCUAACUACUAAGCUCUGCUUUUUUAUGAAACACUUGCUUGCUGGAUGACUGAGGCACCUGCUACUCAUCUGUUAGGAGGUCAACCCUUGCCCACACUCAGACAGCAACGAGUUAACGUAGCUCCUCAAAAUUAUAACUUUGUGGAUUUUGUCUUUAUAAUCUUUGAGCUAUCAGGGGUUUUAUUUAGAAUAUUCUCUCUGAUUUGGCCUAGCCAGUCUCUUUUUUAUAAAAAGUCUCUAGUUUAGUAAAACCAACACUGAGUCAGACUGGAACUUACCCCAGACCUUCAACAUUUAUAAUCACCGGUGAGAUAUGGGUACCUUGGUACAGAAGCUGCCUUUUUUUUUUCUGAACAGCCUUAGUUCCCCAUGGACUCUUGGUCUGAGGGCCUAUAAAUUGGAGAGCCUUAUUAGUCCUGUGAGAGUUACAGGGAUGUACCCAAUGCCUAGCCCUUAAAAUCUCUACAGAGUUUAGGUACUUCUUUUCCUGUUGGGGACCUCUACAGAGGUUUAAAAGCCCUCUUGAGGGCUUCCAAUCUGGGGGCUGAAACUUAGAAUGGAGAGGCCCAGUCCUUUGGGAAGGGACUGGUGAGUUGCCUGCCUUGGGGCAAAGGAACCUGAGAGGCUCAGUGUUUAGGGGAUCCAUUGAGAGAUUUUUCAACUCCAAAACUUGUGAAAAGAUGCAUCUGAAAGCCUCUGGAGCUAUAGGUAAGGAUUUUGUCUCCUGUAGCCCUCAGUAAUGAGAGAGACUUGUAGCAAGCUGGGUGCAAUGUUACUUCCUGAGGCCAGAGGAUCUCUAGGAUGCAGUGGACACUGGGUCUUCCAUACCUAAUUCUGAAGGAAAGGGAGGGCACCAAGUCCCAGUUCACCGUCUGCUGUUUUUCCAUUUUGUUUGUUGUGUCACUUACAUUUAUUUUUAAAUCCAAAAUUAUGGGUCAAAAGUCUUCCAUUCAUGACAGCCUGUGAACCUGAUGAAGUCUCAUUUUAAGGACUUCCAGAGAAAAGCUCAGGAGGCUGGUGAACAGUUCUAUGUCAGGAAACUACUUGCUUUUCUCUGCCCUGAUUGGUCUUCAUUCCAGGGGGGCUGGCCAGCUGAAGUCUUCCUUAACCUUUCUUUUAUUUCCAGGGUGCAGCAUAUAAUGCAGGUUUUAGUAAAGCAGGGCAUCUGGAUAGACUUUCCUUCCCUCUGGCCUGGGCAUUCUGGGUAGAGGAGCCCUCUCCCUCGAUAAGGAAGUAGCAGCCAAAUUCUCCCCCUAAUGCCACCAUUUUCAUUUUAGAAGAAACAAAUGAAACCAAGGGUCAGGACAAAAUCUGCCCCCAAGUCUUGUCAGCCCAGCCAGAUGCAGAGGAAGUGCUGCUGCCUUGUGUGCAUGCUCUGUAGGUCAGAAAGUGGGACUGGCCACUGGCGAUGCUCCCUGGCCCGACUCACUUCACCCAGCCCUUGGAUCAGUCAUCCUAUGCAUGCAGGUCCCUGAUUAGAUGGAAAAUUUUCCCUCUGGGAACAAUGCUGAGGCCUGGCCACACUGGAGCAGGUUUCUCCAUUGGCCCUAGUCUCCUGGUCAUUUUCUUGUAUUUGCUCUGGUCCCCAGUCUCCCUCCGAUUUUCUCUCAGAAACCUCAUUCCCACUCAUUCUCACAGACUCCCUUUCAGGGGUAUGCUCUACCAACCAUGGGGCUGAUCGCAGCAGGAUGUGUUUCAUGUGAUGCUCCCGAACAUGCUUUCCCAGCAUCUCUUGAUACAGGGGUUUUCUCCUUGAGAGAGGUUUUCUCAUGUGGAUAAAUCCCAGUAGGAUGGGAUGGGGGAAACUUGCUAGCUGUUUAUGAUAUAUGUUUCUUUCUCUACUAGUGAUCUAUAUAUUAGAAAAACCAAAUUCUCCCUGUCUCAGGAGAGCCCCAAAGGUUUGUUUGUUUAUUAAUUAAUUAGUUUAUUUAUUAAUUUAGUUUUAAUGAGAAAUAACGUUUUACAAACACAAGCCCACUUGGGCAGCCUGUCAGCAGGUACUUCAUCCCCCAAGCCUCAACAGAGAAAAGGAACAGAGUUCAAUGGGAACCCCAGAAACAAGUCCUGGGAAGACCAACCUGUGGCCUGCGGUUAUCUAAGAUUUUUUUCCCUGCCGAACAACAGGGUUGGGACCUGGCUUCUGGUGAAGGUAGGGAGUCUCUCAACCCCACUUUCGCCAGACUCUGUUAGGGAGCUUCAGGGUAAUAGCCAGACAGCCUACAAAUUUCUUUAACGUAAACAAGAUAACUCUGGGUUCAGAAGAGUCCCCAUCUGAUUUUUCUGUAGUACCCCCUAGAGGCCUAUGGGACUUACAUCCAGAUUGACCUGGAGGCCACAGAAAAAAACAGAGGAUAUUAAUGUGGAUUUUGUUUCUUAGGCUGCACCAGAUAGAUAUUAGGAAGAAAAUUCAGAAAAUAGGAGGAUUUUAAGAAAAAGUAUUGACAAAGUUAAUACCCCAGAUGACACAGACUAGAGGAAACUAGCUAGGAAUAUGUUGGCAGCAAAGCGAGGAGAAGGAGCUCAGCUUUCAGGAUCUGCAAUGGAAGGCCAAAAACUGAGGGAAGCAGGCAUAAAAAGGAACAUAUUUUCAGGAAAAACUAGAAUGCACACUGCAAAUAGAUAGGACAUUGGAAGUGCCCAAGAUGUAACUGACAUGCACUCUGCUGUGAAAUGGGCCAUUGCCAAAAUGAAUGCCCAAAUGUAGAGCACAGGUUCACAUGUGCUUAAGCUAAGCCCAAACUGAUGUGCUGCAGGCUUUGACAGCAUCCCCAGAGCCCAGGGUUACUGUGAAAGUGGGGAGAGGUGGACUUCCCUAAACUUUCUGGUGGCUAUGUGAAGCAUCUACUCAUAUCUAAAGUUACAGGCAUGCCAAAUAAGGGAAAAAUGGUCAAUAAAAUGAGGAGAUGCCAGUUCUCAGAUCUGCUCCUGGAGCACAAAACAAAACGCCCUUAAAAGAAAACAACAACAACAACAACAACAAAUGAAAACAAAACCCAAGGCAAAACAAAAGUGUUGACUUGGGAAAGAUGACAGUUGUCCACUCUUUGAUGGUCAUGCUUGCAUGUCCAAACCCUCUACUGGAAUGUGAUCUGUGCCACAAACUAAGAGUAGAAAUACAUCUUGAAAAGAAUGAUGUUAUAAAGAGUAUUAGAUUAACAUGAAAUUCUGAUAACCACCCCACUAGGUGAAGAAUAUAUUCUACUAAACAACCCUGCUGUGGAGAAAAAGUCAGACUUACUAAAAGACUUAUAACAAAAAUUUCCUUCUGUCUGGGCUAAAACAAACCCACCAGGACUCACAGCCCACCAACCCUGUCAAGUGGACCUGCAAGGCUACUCUACCCCUAUCAAGGUAAAGCAAUAUUUUAUGACAUGGUGAGCAGAAUAGGCACACAAAGUCCACAUUGCUGAAGCUGGCACACUGGUACUUCCCACUCCCAUUGUAAUAUUCCACUGCUGCUCAUAAGAGAGCCCUUUAAGAGAUGAACAAGAGAGCAUAAGGCAUUCGUCUAAUAGUUCUAAACACCAUACACUUCUGAGUUCAUUCCUUUUCCACACCAGAAGGCAGGUCUAUACUGUUGCAGAUUGCAAGGAUGCCUUUUCUAAUAUACUUCUGGCUAAGUCAAGCCAGUUGACAGUUGCCUUUGAAUGGAUUGAUGUGGGAUAAAGGACUAACGGCCCAUUGAAAGAGACUAGAUUGCUUCAGGGUUUUAAAAAUUGUUCAACUUUGUUGGUUGAAGCCCUCCACAGAAACUUGCAAACGUCAAAUGUUACACUCCUGCAAUAAGUGAAUGACCUCCUGGUAGCAGAAUCUGAGAAUAGUUGUCCUCAUACCACAGGAACACUGCAACAACAGGGAUAACAGGUCUCUGCAAAGAAGGCUCAGCUCUGCACCUGUGAGACAACAUACCUGAGGUAUGAACUGCAAGAAAAUAAGGGGUUACUAUCCUCCACAGAAUCCAGGCAAUUACUCAGGUCCCAAGCCUGAGACAGAAAUACAACUCUGGGAGUUCCUUGGGCUACAGGAUAUUGUGAGCUUUGGAUACACAGGUUUGCAGAGCUGAUCAAGCCACUAUGCUGACUACCUGGGGCACUGAGCAAGACUUUGGCCCAUGUCCAAAAGAAAAGCAGGUUUUUCCAGUGUUAAAGCAGGCUCAGGAUUUGGCUCCAGAAUUAGCACUGUCAAACAUUGACAAACCAUUCCACUUGUUUGUGGAUGAGAGGAAAGCCAUGGCCUGGGGGUCCUACCCCCCAAAUGAAGACCCUGGAAGCAACCUGUUGCUUGUCUCUCUAAGAAGUUGAAAUAAUCUGAUGGAAGCACCAAGCCCAGCAUGUCUGAGACCUAUUGAUUCCAAGUCCUCCGAAUACAGAAAGCAGACAAGGUGACUCCAAGGCAAGAUCUGCUGAUCAUGGCUGCAUAAGAGGUGGAAGCUCUCUUAGGGAGCACACUGAACAAGUGGAGGGAUGACUAAUUCUCCUACAACCCCUUACCAGGCCUUGCUCCUAGACAAGCCAAUGUCAUCAAUCAAAUGUCAUCACACAGCUAACCUGAAUCCAGCCACGUUACUGCCACAAGCAAUGACCCCACCAUCCAACAUCACUGCUUCACAUUUCAGGGACAGACAGAGGCAGGACAGGACUGGGAUGCCAUGGACAUGACCAGACAUGGUCAUGUUUUCAUGUGGUAGCAGUUUUGUCCAGGAAAGCACAAGUUAUGCCAGGGCAGCUGAAGUGACUAUGAACCAUUCUCUUUGGGUGGAAGUCCUUCCCCUAGGGACUUCAGCCCACACAGCAGAGCUUGGUACACUCCCUGAAGCUCUCAGACUGGGAAAAGGAAACUAUAAAUAUACUGACAUAGAUAUGCCUUUACACUGCACGGGACCAUUUACCUGGAGAGUAUCUUCUCAACAGCAGAGAGAAAGAUAACCAGAAAUAAGACUAAGACCCUGGACCCCUGAGCUGCAGUUUGGGCACCAAGAAGGAUUGCUAUCUAUCAUCCAUUGUCCUGUUCACCAUAAAGGAGAUUCGUUAGGAGCGACAAGAAACAGGAGGGCAAGUUAGCCAGAGAGGCUGCCUUAAAAGAAGUAAAAUGCCUGCUGUCACAGAACCCACCCUGCCAAGACUGUUUUCACAAGCACCGGAGAGACACCUGGAGCAUCAGCUCCAUGAAGGGACUCACCUGGGAAAACCAGGUCACCUGAACCUCGGAGGAAAAGCUUCCUUUUCACAGGAAUGGAUCUGAUGAUACAGGAAACUGUUUGCACAUGUCAAGCCUGUAAACAGACAAAUGCUUCCACUGUUAAGGGGCCAGACACCCCAGUGAUUAGGAAACAAGGCUUAGGAUCGGAUGAAUAGUAGAAUGUAGAUUUUACAGAAGGCAGUCCGGGACUAUAUGGAUACAGUUAUUUACUUGGUUUUUUGUUUGUUUGUUUGUUUGUGGAUACUUUUUCUGGAUGGGUAAAGAUCUUUCCCAUCAAAACAGACUGCUCACAUUAUAGCUAAAACUUUUUAGAUAGAUAAUGCAUAGCUUUGGACUACCAUUUUUCAUAUGAGAGGACUGAGUUAGCCAGAGCCAGGCAGACUCCAUGACAGGCUUCAAACUGGUAGUUUGGAAGACUAUAUUUAAAUUUCUAUUUCCUAGAAAUGAGAACCUGGAUCCAGAAACCUGGAUCCAGGACACUUUGUCAUUUGGCCUAAAGUAAGAAUAGGUAACUAGAAUUAGUAAGCAAAUCCCUGGGAAGUCUCCAGGGCCUAACCAAUUAUAGAAUCAAUCAGACCCACAGAGAUAGAGCUAACAAAUCAAGGUAAACAGGCACAUACCCCUCCCUGGAAUUCCCCUGACAGUAAAAGCUGGGCCUGCAAGACCACUAGGAGUCUCUAUUCCCGAACAGGGAGACCCCGGCGUGCAGGAAACUCAGCUGAAUAUGCACUCUUUGCUUUUGCCUAUUUGAGUCUGGAGCCUUCCUUCAGUGACUUUUAGACCCUAACUCAUAGUGUCAGAUGACAGGCCAGCCUUUAUAUCUAAUUUUACUUAAAGUAUUUCUGCUGUUCUGGGAAACAAUUGGAAAUUAUAUUGUGCUUAUCAACCCCAAUAUUUAGGAUGGGUAGAGAGAAUAUAUGGGAUCAUAAGGAGACUUUAACUGAAUUUACCUCGGAGACUGGCGAAAGAUGGGUGGGGCUUCUUCCCUUUGCCCUCCUUAGGGCUUGAUUUGUACACCUUAUGUAAAAGGACUGAGUCCAUUGGAAAUCCUUUUUGGGAGGCCUCCUCCCAUCCCUCAGAUAGCAUUGGAACUAACUGCAGAAAUUACUAAUCAUCAAUAGCUUUAACCUAUUGUUAAAGGCCUUGAAGACGACUCAGGAGACUGUGGCCUCCUCACUUAAGGCUACUUUCCAGAGCAGCCUCAUCCACACCCCUUCCAUCCAGAAGAUACAGUGUGGAUCAAUAGACAUCGAACUUGGGCAUUAGGACCUCGCUGGAAGAGACCUCAUCGGGUCAUUCCGAACACCUCCCUCCCUUCCCCCAACUGCUGUCAAGGCAGAUGAUAUCUGCACCUGGAUCCAUCUCUUGAAAAUCAAGCCCAUCACAGAUGGAGAAGAUGGCCCAGGUCCAGAGGAAGCCAACAGCUCAGCUCUAGAGAGCUGGGCCAUCACCAGAACCUGAGGGGAAUCCACUAAAGAUAAGACUGACAAGGGUUUUAACCUAAUGACACUAUAAUGCCUAAUCAUGUUGCCUUCUGUACUGUCCUGGGAUCAAACUGGAAAGCUCCUCUAUCACUUCAGAUGUCUGUACUCAUAGUAAGUUUAUAAUUAGGAACAGCUGGAGCCACUCUCCAUGAACCCAACACAAUAGCGGAUACUAACUACAGAGCUUAGGAUUUGUUUCUAUUGGAAAAGUCUACUGUAAAAACUGAAGGGACAUUAGACUCUUUAGCUGAGGUAGUCUUGCAACAUAGCAAGGCACUUGAUAUGCUUUAUGCAGAUUAGGGGAGUUACUGUAUGACCUUGCUUCCAUACAAACCAUUCAGGGAUUGUUGGAGAUAAUUUGGCUAUGCUUGGGAAAUGUUUCAUAGAAUGGGCAAAGACUCUGCAUGGAGGAAAUGAAGGGCUCCCAGUUUCAUUUUCAAGUUCCUCUUGGCUGAUCCUUCUGUCGUCAGCUGUUGCAGGGCCUCUAGCCCUUUGGUUCCUACUGAUUACUUUUGGCCCCUGCAUCUUUAACACCAUAAAUAUAUAAAUUCACGCUUAGGAGGUGUUACACUAAGUUAUUGAAUCCCAAUAUGGACAGGUACCCACUGCAGAGUCAAUCAAGCCAUAGUUCUUGGGGAAGGUAGAAUAUGAUGGUGAACAUUAUGCUGAGAGGUUAAAUUUACUGCACCACGCUUGUAGAAACAAAAUUGUUGUUAGCUUGUUUAAGACAUGAGGAAAUUGUUCCUAUCUUGAAUGUUAGCUUGAAUAAGACAUGAGGAAAUUGUUCCUAUCUUGAAUGUUAGCUUGUAUAAGACAUGAGGAAAUUGUUCCUACCUUGAAUGUACCCUGUCAGCUGGCCAGAGAUGGACCACUUUCUAGUACUACUGGGACUGCAUAUUUCAUUAAGUCAUUUUUUUGAACAUUUGAGUAAUAUCCCAUUGUGUAAAUCCACCCCAUUUUCUCUAUUUAGUCUUCUGUUUAUGGCCAUCCCUAGUCCAACUGAAUAAUUUAAAGAUUCAAAAGAGCUGGAAUACAACAACUCUCAAUUAGCUAAAAUUUGUGACCAGACACAGCAAAAAAUGAAAAUAAAACCUGAUAAUUGAA